rnacentral:rRNA from 1 species
UGGGGAAUUGUUCGCAAUGGGCGCAAGCCUGACGACGCAACGCCGCGUGGAGGAUGAAGACUUUCGGGUCGUAAACUCCUUUCGACCGAGAUGAAUUCCUGCCGACCUAAUACGUCGGCAGGGUGACAGUAUCGAGGGAAGAAGCCCCGGCUAACUCCGUGCCAGCAGCCGCGGUAAUACGGGGGGGGCAAGCGUUGUUCGGAAUUACUGGGCGUAAAGGGUUCGUAGGUGGCCAACUAAGUCAGACGUGAAAUCCCUCAGCUCAACUGGGGAACUGCGUCUGAGACUGGAUGGCUCGAGUGCAGGAGAGGAACGCGGAAUUCCAGGUGUAGCGGUGAAAUGCGUAGAUAUCUGGAGGAACACCGGUGGCGAAGGCGGCGUUCUGGACUGCAACUGACACUGAGGAACGAAAGCCAGGGGAGCAAACGGG